GAUGAACGCUGGCGGCGUGCUUAACACAUGCAAGUCGAACGGAAAGGCCGAAGCUUGCUUCGGUACUCGAGUGGCGAACGGGUGAGUAACACGUGGGUGAUCUGCCCUGUACUUCGGGAUAAGCUUUGGAAACUGGGUCUAAUACCGGAUAUGACGAUCUCUUGGAUGGGGUUGUGGAAAGCUUUUGCGGUAUGGGAUGAGCGCGCGGCCUAUCAGCUUGUUGGUGGGGUAAUGGCCUACCAAGGCGUCGACGGGUAGCCGGCCUGAGAGGGUGUACGGCCACAUUGGGACUGAGAUACGGCCCAGACUCCUACGGGAGGCAGCAGUGGGGAAUAUUGCACAAUGGGCGCAAGCCUGAUGCAGCGACGCCGCGUGGGGGAUGACGGCCUUCGGGUUGUAAACUCCUUUCGCAAUCGACGAAGCCUUUUGGUGACGGUAGGUUGAGAAGAAGCACCGGCUAACUACGUG
rnacentral:rRNA from 1 species